CCUACGGGUGGCAGCAGUGAGGAAUAUUGGUCAAUGGGCGCGAGCCUGAACCAGCCAAGUAGCGUGAAGGAUGACGGCCCUACGGGUUGUAAACUUCUUUUAUCAGGGAAUAAAGUGAGGCACGUGUGCCUUAUUGUAUGUACUUUAUGAAUAAGGAUCGGCUAACUCCGUGCCAGCAGUCGCGGUAAUACGGAGGAUCCGAGCGUUAUCCGGAUUUAUUGGGUUUAAAGGGAGCGUAGAUGGGUUGUUAAGUCAGGUGUGAAAGUUUGCGGCUCAACCGUAAAAUUGCAAUUGAUACUGGCAGCCUUGAGUACAGUUGAGGUAGGCGGAAUUCGUGGUGUAGCGGUGAAAUGCUUAGAUAUCACGCAGAACUCCGAUUGCGAAGGCAGCUUACUAAACUGCCACUGACAUUGAUGCUCGAAAGUGUGGGUAUCAAACAGGAUUAGAUACCCCUGUAGUC
rnacentral:rRNA from 1 species